UACGUAGGGUGCAAGCGUUGUCCGGAAUCAUUGGGCGUAAAGCGCGCGUAGGUGGUCAUGUAAGUCCGCUGUGAAAGUCAAAGGCUCAACCUUUGAAAGCCGGUGGAUACUGCAUGACUAGAGUACGGAAGAGGCGAGUGGAAUUCCUGGUGUAGCGGUGGAAUGCGCAGAUAUCAGGAGGAACACCAAUAGCGAAGGCAGCUCGCUGGGACGUUACUGACACUGAGGCGACGAAAGCGU
rnacentral:rRNA from 1 species